rnacentral:rRNA from 1 species
AGCGAACGCUGGCGGUAGGCCUAACACAUGCAAGUCGAACGGCAGCACAGUAAGAGCUUGCUCUUAUGGGUGGCGAGUGGCGGACGGGUGAGGAAUAUAUCGGAAUCUACUCUUUGGGGGGGGAUCACGAAGGGAAACCUAAGCUCAUAUCGCAUAUGCUCCACGGGUGAAAGGAGUGGAUCUUUGGACCUGUCGCGAGUGAACGAGCCGAUGUUGGACUUGCUAGUUGGCGGGUUACAGGCCCACCAAGGCGACGAUCCGUAGCUGGACUGAGAGGAUGAUAGCCCACACUAGAGCUGAGACACGGUCCAGGCUCCUGCGAGAGGCCGCAGUGGGGAAUAUUAGACAAUGGGCGCAAGCCUGAUCCAGCCAUACCGCGUGGGUGAAGGAGGCCUUCGGGUUGUAAAGCCCUUUUGUUGGGAAAGAAAAGCAGCCGGUUAAUACCCCGCUGUUCUGACGGUACCCAAAGAAUAAGCACCGGCUAACUUCGUG